GUUUUUGUCUUUUUGUUGUAGUUUUUUCUUUAGAAUUAUUAGAAUAUGUAAAUAAUGUAAUAUAAAUAAUGUUUAUAAAUUCUUUUAUAUUUACUUUAUUAUUUCAUUUAAAUUACUACAUUAUAAGCCAACAGGUUUGACUGGCAAUAUAAGUAAUGUUGUUCAUCGUUUAUAUUGUUUAUAACAUCGUCAGUUUUUAUAUGCAUUUAAUAUUUUUAAAAAUAGUUCAAAAGCUGUCAAAAUAAAAUGGUGAAUUGAGUUUAAACCAGAAAAGAUAUAAACGUAAUCUUUGGGAUUCAACUUGUAAGGAUGUUCCAAGAACCACUUAGUUGGAGAAGGAAAACUGUGCCGUUCAUUAACAAGUCCUGUGCUUUAUAAUAUAUUAAAAAAUGGAAGGACGUGAAGAAAACAGGCAGGAAUGUUUGACUGGAAAUAUAAACGAUGUUGUACAUAAUGCAGAUAGCUUAGGCAAAAAAGAGUAUGUUAUACAUAUG
rnacentral:lncRNA from 1 species